UGAUGAAUAAUUAUCUGCUCAAAGCUUAGUGACUUUUAGCCAGGCACAAAGGACAAAUAGUGUGUGGUGUCACUUACUUGAGACAUCUAGAGGAGUCAGCCAAGCAAGGGAACAGAAAAUGGGUGGAUGGGUGUCUGGGCUGGAGGGAAAGUGGGUGAUGAGGUAGAAGGAUAUAGAGUUUGGGGGAUUAGAGAGUCUCCCCUUCCAUCAAGUAGAGAUGGAACCCAAGGUUUUAAGUAUGCUUACUGAGAGAUCUACCACUGAGCUACACCCCCAGCCCCUCACUGGGGGAUUCUAGGCAGGGGCUCUACCACUGAGCCACGCCCCCAGUCCCUCACUGGGGGAUUCUAGGCAGGGACUCUACCACUGAGCCACGCCCCCAACCCCUCACUGGGGAUUCUAGGCAGGGGCUCUACCACUGAGCUAUGCCCCCAGCCCCUCACUGGGGGAUUCUAGGCAGGGGCUCUACCACUGAGCCACGCCCCCAGACCCUCACUGGGGGAUGCUAGGCAAGCCUUCUACUGCUGCCCUACACCCUCAGUCCUUUUGAGAAUGGAUCUGGGACGGGACAUGUGUACAUAUGGACACCUUAUGUCCAUAUCCAUGGGGACAAUAUCUGCACAACUUGCACAUCCCCGUGCUUCCUCUUAGCAAUCUUCUUUUGUCCUUUUCCUAUUGUAAAUUUCAAGUUCCCACAUCUGCCUCUUUUUCCUUCAUUGUGAUAAUUAAUUUAAUCUGCUGCUUAGUUUUGAAAGUAAAGCUGUUGGCAGCUGGGAAUUUGAGGAUGUGAAGGUGAGAAUGUUCGGGCGUUGCCUGCUGAUCCAGCACGUGCAGAGUCUUCUGCGUUUCAGUGUUCCUUGCUGCGUAGCAUCUAACAAAGGCGUCUUCUGCAUCUCCGAGUAGAGGGAACACUACUCUGCCCGGGUAAAGUUCCUUUCUCAUGUCUGGAAUAUCUACAGUUCUGGAACCGCAGGAGUGGUGAAACCCGUUGACACCUAAAGCCACAAGGUCUGCAGGUGAUUUGUUGGUUAACAAGAGAGAAACCAAGACACUCAUACAGGGGAAAUCCAGCGCACAUCUGUGCACAGAACAAUUCUUUCUGACUAAAGGUCUCCGAAGUCUGGCUAGCUUGGCCUCACUGGGAAUGGCGAACAUAGGCCCAUGCGCCCACCCACCUGUGCUCACAUGUCCUGAAGAAAUCUUCCACCUGGACCUGAAGCUCUUUUAUUCAGUCCGCAACAGUGGUUAUCAGCCUUCCUGACGCUGCGAGUCUUUAAUACAUUUCCUUGUGUUAUGGUGACACCCUCCCCAAUAAAAUAAUUUCAUUGCUACUUCGGAA